rnacentral:rRNA from 1 species
UACAGAGGGUGCAAGCGUUAAUCGGAAUUACUGGGCGUGAAGCGUGCGUAGACGGUUACGUAAGUCGGGUGUGAAAGCCCCGGGCUCAACCUGGGAAUUGCAUUCGAGACUGUGUAGCUAGGGUGCGGAAGAGGGAAGCGGAAUUUCCGGUGUAGCGGUGAAAUGCGUAGAUAUCGGAAGGAACAUCAGUGGCGAAAGCGGCUUCCUGGUCCAGCACCGACGUUCAGGCACGAAAGCGUGGGGAGCAAACAGG